UCUCCCUCUCUCUCUCUCUCUCUCUCACACACACACACACACACACACACACACACACAGUGUAUGUGCACGCGCAACAUUGGACACUGGGCCCCUUCUCUCCUCCUCUUAUCUUCACACACAGCCCUCCUCUUCUCAUCUUUACAAACAAACACACACACACAUACUUUAACGGAAAGAAGGCUCUGUCGCAAUUCUUUUUAAAGUAAACUGUGUGUAAAUCAUCAACUGCCUGUGUAUCAGCUGAUUUCUACACCAGCUUUACAUCCUGAGCAGAAGAUUAUCAUGAAGAGGACGGACCCUUGAUGCUCUGCCUUCUUGCAUUACCAAUAUAUACA